AAAGUAUUCGACGUGGAGAAAAUUUAAAAAUCAACUAUGAACAUUUUAUUGCUAAUAUUUGGUUUCAUUUGCACUUCAGCUUUGCUUUUAGAACCACCAAAAAAAGAUACGGAAUGUGUUAAGGGAACGAGUAAACAAUUAUGUUUGAAGGAAAACUUCAGGAAGAGGAAUAUCAAAAUGCAAAUAGAACCAGAUUUGCGGCAGGACAAAGGUGAAAGUUACGCAGGAAAUAUCAAAACCAAUUCUU